rnacentral:rRNA from 1 species
CAGCAGCCACGGUAAUACGAAGGGUGCAAGCGUUACUCGGAAUUACUGGGCGUAAAGCGUGCGUAGGCGGCUUCUUAAGUCGGAUGUGAAAUCCCUGAGCUUAACUUAGGAAUUGCAUUCGAUACUGGGAAGCUAGAGUAUGGGAGAGGAUGGUAGAAUUCCAGGUGUAGCGGUGAAAUGCGUAGAGAUCUGGAGGAAUACCGAUGGCGAAGGCAGCCAUCUGGCCUAAUACUGACGCUGAGGUACGAAAGCAUGGGGAGCAAACAGGAUUAGAUACCCCCGUAGUCCCUGUCUCUUAUAC